CGCAUCCAUUUUUUCAAUUAAAAUGUACCUGCUGUGUACAGCAUGGCAGAGCGUUGCAGUGAUAUGACCUUUUUUAAUCAUCAUUCCCUUGAGUCUCAUGAAUGUCACAAAUUGCUCUAUGAAAAUUAAUGAUAUGACAACAUACACACAAUGCAAUUAAUGAAAAGCU